rnacentral:tRNA from 1 species
GGAGGGUAGGCUCGGGGUGGAGCGUGUGCCUAGUAAGCACGAGGUCCUCGGUUCAGUCCCCAGUACCUCCA